UACGUAGGGUGCAAGCGUUAAUCGGAAUUACUGGGCGUAAAGCGUGCGCAGGCGGUUUUGUAAGUCUGUCGUGAAAUCCCCGGGCUUAACCUGGGAAUUGCGAUGGAGACUGCAAGGCUAGAAUCUGGCAGAGGGGGGGGUAGAAUUCCACGUGUAGCAGUGAAAUGCGUAGAGAUGUGGAGGAACACCGAUGGCGAAGGCAGCCCCCUGGGUCAAGAUUGACGCUCAUGCACGAAAGCGUGGGGAGCAAACGAGG
rnacentral:rRNA from 1 species